rnacentral:tmRNA from 1 species
GGGGCUGAUUCUGGAUUCGACGGGAUUUGCGAAACCCAAGGUGCAUGCCGAGGGGCGGUUGGCCUCGUAAAAAGCCGCAAAAAAAUAGUCGCAAACGACGAAACCUACGCUUUAGCAGCUUAAUAACCUGCUUAGAGCCCUCUCUCCCUAGCCUCCGCUCUUAGGACGGGGAUCAAGAGAGGUCAAACCCAAAAGAGAUCGCGUGGAUGCCCUGCCUGGGGUUGAAGCGUUAAAACGAAUCAGGCUAGUCUGGUAGUGGCGUGUCCGUCCGCAGGUGCCAGGCGAAUGUAAAGACUGACUAAGCAUGUAGUACCGAGGAUGUAGGAAUUUCGGACGCGGGUUCAACUCCCGCC